UCUGUUUGAGGAUAUAAACAGUUUAACCUGCUCACUGACAAAAUUGUUUAAGAGCCGCGGUAUAUUGACCGUGCAAAGGUAGCAUAAUCAUUAGGGGUCUAAUUGAAAUCUAGAAUGAAAGGUUGGACAAAGGAAAAACUGUCUUUAUAAUAAAGAUUGAAAUUUACUUUUAAGUGAAAAGGCUUAAAUUAUUCAAAGGGACGAUAAGACCCUAUAAAGCUUUAUAAAUUGUUAUAAAUUUAAUUAAUAUAAAUUAAUAAAAGUUAGAUUUGAUUGUUUUAUUUUGUUGGGGUGACAUGAGUAUAAUUUGAAUUAACUGCUUAAAGAACAUACUAUUAUUAAAAGAAUGAAAAAAAUGAUCCUUUAUAGAGAUUAAAAGAUUAAGUUACUUUAGGGAUAACAGCGUAAUUUCUUUUGAGAGUUCUUAUCGAAAAAGAAGAUUGCGACCUCGAUGUUGAAUUAAAAUGUCUUUAUAAUGUAGC
rnacentral:rRNA from 10 species